GACGAACGCUGGCGGCGUGCUUAACACAUGCAAGUCGAACGGAAAGGCCCUGCUUUUGUGGGGUGCUCGAGUGGCGAACGGGUGAGUAACACGUGAGUAACCUGCCCUUGACUUUGGGAUAACUUCAGGAAACUGGGGCUAAUACCGGAUAGGAGCUCCUGCUGCAUGGUGGGGGUUGGAAAGUUUCGGCGGUUGGGGAUGGACUCGCGGCUUAUCAGCUUGUUGGUGGGGUAGUGGCUUACCAAGGCUUUGACGGGUAGCCGGCCUGAGAGGGGGACCGGCCACAUUGGGACUGAGAUACGGCCCAGACUCCUACGGGGGGCAGCAGUGGGGAAUAUUGCACAAUGGGCGGAAGCCUGAUGCAGCAACGCCGCGUGCGGGAUGACGGCCUUCGGGUUGUAAACCGCUUUCGCCUGUGACGAAGCGUGAGUGACGGUAAUGGGUAAAGAAGCACCGGCUAACUACGUG
rnacentral:rRNA from 1 species